CCUACGGGAGGCAGCAGUGAGGAAUAUUGGUCAAUGGACGAGAGUCUGAAGCAGCAACGUCGCGUGAAGGAUGACUGCCCUAUGGGUUGUAAACUUCUUUUAUAUGGGACUAAAACAGGGUAUGCAUACCCUCUUGUAUGUACCAUAUGAAUAAGGAUCGGCUAACUCCGUGCCAGCAGCCGCGGUAAUACGGAGGGUCCGAGCGUUAUCCGGAUUUAUUGGGUGUAAAGGGAGCGUAGGUGGAUUGUUAAGUCAGUUGUGAAAGUUUGCGGCUCAACCGUAAAAUUGCAGUUGAUACUGGGAGUCUUGAGGACAGUAGAGGUAGGCGGAAUUCGUGGUGUAGCGGUGAAAUGCGUAGAUAUCACGAAGAACACCGAUGGCGAAGGCGGCUCACUGGACUGCAACUGACACUGAUGCUCGAAAGUGUGGGUAGCAAACAGGAUUAGAUACCCGGGUAGUC
rnacentral:rRNA from 1 species